GUCCGACUCCUCCGACUCUUCCUUGGCUUCAACCUUAGCUGGGGCUGCAGCAGCAGCAGGAGCAGCUGUGGUGUCAGCAGCCACAGGGGCAGCAGCCACAAAGGCAGAUGGAUCAGCCAAGAAGGCCUUGACAUUUUCAGCAAGUGGGAAGGUGUAAUCCGUCUCCACAGACAAGGCCAGGACUCGUUUGUACCCGUUGAUGAUAGAAUGGGGUACUGAUGCAACAGUUGGGUAGCCAGUCUGCAGACAGACACUGGCAACAUUGCGGACACCCUCCAGGAAGCGAGAAUCACUCAGGAUUUCAAUGGUGCCCCUGGAGAUUUUAGUGGUGAUACCUAAAGCCUGGAAAAAGGAGGUCUUCUCGGGCCCGAGACCAGUGUUCUGGGCUGGCACAGUGACUUCACAUGGGGCAAUGGCACCAGCACGGGCAGCAGCUGGCACCUUAUUGGCCAGCAACAUGUCCCUGAUCUCAGUGAGGUCCUCCUUGGUGAACACAAAGCCCACAUUCCCCCAGAUAUGAGGCAGCAGUUUCUCCAGAGCUGGGUUGUUUUCCAGGUGCCCUCGGAUGGCCUUGCGCAUCAUGGUGUUCUUGCCCAUCAGCACCACGACCUUCCCGCGAAGGGACAUGCGGAUCUGCUGCAUCUGCUUGGAGCCCACAUUGUCUGCUCCCACGAUGAAACAUUUUGGAUAAUCAUCCAAUAGUUGGAUGAUCUUAAGGAAGUAGUUGGACUUCCAGGUCGCCCUGUCUUCCCUGGGCAUCACGGCGGUGCGUCAGGGAUUGCCACGCAGGGUUUAAAGACGAUGUCACUUCCACGAGGAUGCCUGGCGAGAGAAGC
rnacentral:lncRNA from 1 species